UAGUCCACGCCGUAAACGAUGUGUGCUAGCUGUUGGAUGGUAUUCCAUUCAGUGGCUGAGCUAACGUAUUAAGCACACCGCCUGGGGAGUACGGUCGCAAGACUAAAACUCAAAGGAAUUGACGGGGACCCGCACAAGCGGUGGAGCAUGUGGUUUAAUUCGAUGCUACGCGAAAAACCUUACCAACCCUUGACAUGGUGGUCGCGAGAGAUAGAGAUAACUCUCUUCAGUUAGGCUGGACCACACACAGGUGUUGCAUGGCUGUCGUCAGCUCGUGUCGUGAGAUGUUGGGUUAAGUCCCGCAACGAGCGAAACCCUCAUUCUCAUUUGCCAGCGGUUCGGCCGGGAACUAUGAGAAAACUGCCGGUGAUAAGCCGGAGGAAGGUGGGGAUAAUGUCAAGUCAUCAUGGCCCUUAUGGGUUGGGCUACACGCGUGCUACAAUGGUAUCUACAGAGGGAUGCAAUAUGGCAACAUGGAGCAAAUCCUC
rnacentral:rRNA from 1 species